rnacentral:rRNA from 1 species
UACGUAGGGGGCUAGCGUUGUUCAGAAUCAUUGGGCGUAAAGGGCGCGUAGGCGGUUUUGUAAGUCGGAUGUGAAAGCCCAGGGCUCAACCCUGGAAGUGCAUCCGAAACUGCAUAACUGGAGUCUCGGAGAGGGUGGUAGAAUUCCCAGUGUAGAGGUGAAAUUCGUAGAUAUUGGGAGGAAUACCGGUGGCGAAGGCGACCACCUGGACGAGGACUGACGCUGAGGCGCGAGAGCGUGGGGAGCAAACAGG